rnacentral:rRNA from 1 species
UUUUUGUAUUUAAUAUAAAGUCUAAUCUGCCCACUGAUAAUUUAUUAAAGGGCUGCAGUAUUUUGACUGUACAAAGGUAGCAUAAUCAUUUGUCUCUUAAUUGGUGACUAGUAUGAAAGAUUGGAUGAAAUAUAGACUGUCUCAUUAUAAUGAAUAAAAUUUAAUUUUUUAGUAAAAAAGCUAAAAUAGUUUUAAAAGACGAGAAGACCCUAUAGAGUUUAAUAAUUAUUUUUAUAUAGAAUAAAAUAUAAAAAUUUAAAUUUAAAUGAAAGUAAUUAUUUUGUUGGGGUGAUAGAAAAAUUAAAUUAACUUUUUUUAAAGAUAAACAUUAAUAAAUGAAUAAAUGAUCCAUUAAUAAUGAUUAUAAGAAAAAAUUACCUUAGGGAUAACAGCGUAAUUUUUUUUUUUAGGCCAAAUAAGAAAAAGAGUUUGCGACCUCGAUGUUGGAUUAAGAUAAAAUUUAAAUGUAAAAGUUUAAAGUUUUGAUCUGUUCGAUCAUUAAAA